GACAGAGGGCGCAAGCGUUGUCCGGAAUUAUUGGGCGUAAAGAGCUCGUAGGCGGUUUGUCGCGUCUGCUGUGAAAACUCAGGGCUUAACCCUGAGCCUGCAGUGGGUACGGGCAGACUAGAGGUAUGGCAGGGGAGACGGAAUUCCUGGUGUAGCGGUGGAAUGCGCAGAUAUCAGGAGGAACACCGGUGGCGAAGGCG
rnacentral:rRNA from 1 species